rnacentral:lncRNA from 1 species
AAUUGCGUUAUAGCUCAAAUUUAGUGACACAAUUGGUUGACUAAUGAAUACACAUGAUCAACAAAAUUCGAUUAUAUCUUUCUUUUCAUGCUCAUGCUUCUUAUUUUUGAAUCAAUCACUUUCCAAGAUAUUUUCCAUAAGACUAAAUUAUUUCAUUGCCAUUGGAAACAGACUAAGGUAGCAGACAUUAGCUUAUCACAUCAAAACAUGAUCAAAAGUAACGUAGGGCACCAAAUGAGGCUAUAAUAAUUUCUUUGCCUAAGGGACUCACACAAUGAGGAUGUAGGGACUAAUUUCACUCACUUUUC